GGAUGUAAGGGAGAUCUGCCUACAACAUUGGUCACCUCACUGAUCACCAGGACUGACUGGGCUGAUCUGGCUGUCUAGGCACGUGUCCCCUUCUUUCUUGACUUCUCCAUGUGAAUUCCUCCCAAAUCUGCACACUGGGUCUAAGAGGAUGAACUAUCUCAAUAGAGGCAGACCAGUCUUCUUUAGUCAAGGGUAUAGCAGUAGCUGCAUUCCCCUGCUAGAAUAUCCAUCCAAACAAGCUCUAAAGGUCAAUUUAAAUGUAGGAGACCUUAAGGUUGUCUAGCUUUCAGGAUUCCAGACACAUCCAAAUGAGGCACUGCAUGUAGCAUUCUGCCUUAA
rnacentral:snRNA from 1 species